rnacentral:rRNA from 1 species
CCUACGGGAGGCAGCAGUGAGGAAUAUUGGUCAAUGGACGAGAGCCUGAACCAGCCAAGUAGCGUGAAGGAUGACAGCCCUAUGGGUUGUACACUUCUUUUAUAUGGGAAUAAAAUGUUCCACGUGUGGGAUUUUGUAUGUACCAUAUGAAUAAGGAUCGGCUAACUCCGUGCCAGCAGCCGCGGUAAUACGGAGGAUCCGAGCGUUAUCCGGAUUUAUUGGGUUUAAAGGGGGCGUAGGUGGUUUGUUAAGUCAGUUGUGAACGUUUGCGGGUCAACCGUAAAAGUGCAGUUGAAACUGGAAGUCUUGAGUACAGUAGAGGUAGGCGGAAUUCGUGGUGUAGCGGUGAAAUGCUUAGAUAUCACGAAGAACUCCGAUCGCGAAGGCAGCUCACUGGACUGCAACUGACGCUGAGGCUCGAAAGUGUGGGUAUCAAACAGGAUUAGAUACCCUGGUAGUC